GUUUGCAUGUGUCUGUCAUAAGAGAGAACCUUGCCAGUUUAUAAGCAUAUUGUACUUGCUCUGAAAUUGCGAUAUGCAAACAUAUGCUGAUGAUAAUAUGAUACGUUACUGUUAGUUUGAGGGGCAAUUGCAUGAAACAAGGACUACGUAGAGCGUUAGACUGAAAAGAUGCAGAGAGGGAGAGGAUGCAGCUCCCACUGAAGAAGUUUUUCGUGCUUGCUGGUGAGCUCGCGUGUAGCAGAGCGCACGGAGAGCGCCCACGCAACACUUCCACGCGCCACAAAGCUUUGUAAAUGAACGCAUCCUCACGCAGGAGCCGCUUUAUCUUUAAUAGCAACUGAAAUGAAAACAGUUCUAUAUAAAAUAAAAUAGAAACUGAAAAGACGUCACGCUCAUAUGGACUAUAAUUUGAUGACAUUUGUGCACGAGCCGCCGAUUUCUGCUGACUGGAAGGGCAAAUAAAGAAGACACAGGAUGAUCUAUGCACUUCAUUAACUGUCAGCAUAGGAGUUAACAGAGACUGUGAUGUCCUCAACGCAAAAACCGCAGAUUCAAAUAAUAAGGAAUGUGACAGGGGCCUGACAAACUAUUCUUGAGUUGUAUUUGCCAUGGAAAUAUUCUACCACAAAUUUCAAGGCCAGCAGAUAUUUAAAGAUGAAACCUUGUGCACCUCUCACUUUAAAAAUUUUCUUUCUCCAUGCUCACAUUUCUUGAUUCUCUUUUGAGUGUUAUAUUUUCCCAUUUCAUCCUUGGAUAUGUUCCUGUGCAAGUGGUCUUUUCAUGACUAGACAGCUUUUUUUAAAGAUUCUCUUUUCUAUCACGUUUAUUAAGCCUCAAACUACAGGUUUCUCAAAGGAGGUAUAUAAAAAGGCGACAUUUCACCAAUUGCAUGUGUUUUGUUGAUGACCAAACUGCACUUGGACUCUGAGGAAGAUCUCAAAGCAUCGCCAAGCUUUUUAAAGCUUUUGGAGAGAUCAAAGUGAAUCAACAGGUCAUAAUUUAUCUCACUCUGAACCUCUUACUAUUGUAAUGUGUGCACUUUCCUUGUCAAAUUUUGAAUAAUAAUUCAGUUAUAGAACUUCAAUUAAAAUGUCCCUUUCUUUUGGAGAAAUGAGCUCUUGCUGUGAGGCUGGAAAAUAUGUUGAAAGCAGACUGGAGAUGGAAACAUGACUGUGG
rnacentral:lncRNA from 1 species